CCAAGAAACAGUAUCAGAGGCUGAACCCCUCGGCGAUGAGCGUCUGUCCCAGGACUUGGAAGGGAGGGAGGGAGCAUGGCCACGGCAGCUGCCUGCAGUAUUACAGUUCCAAAACAUAACUUGAAGGUCAGCACAGGAGCUGCUGUGAUAUAAAAGGAGAGAGUCACCUGGCGCCCCCUGCAGUCCUCCAGUUGCCCAGCAGCGGUGGGACGCUCAGUGGCACACACUGGGUCUCUGUAUGGCCUCCCACCUGCAAGGACUUCCCCGGGCAGGCCCAGCUGCCCAGAAGCCCCGGAACACACAGGAAGACAACACUAUAGGAUGGCAGGUGGGGAUCUGUGCAAUACAAACAUGUAGCUAGAAAACCCAACUGAGGAUCUGUCUAGAAUACUUCCGAUAUCAAUAUACCGUAGUUGUUGAAACCAGAACCGUCUCCAGCCGUCAGCAGUCUUGGCGGCUACUGUACAGCUGUCAGCAUGACUACAGGCAGCACCCGAGGCUAUCUGGGGUAAGAAGUGGGCCUGCACAUCACAUCGGUGAGUCAGUGAGAGUCAGGGCCAGAGGGAAAAGCAACUCGGAGGCUGAGGCUGGCACAGAUACACACAAGGGAGUCACAC